UAAUACUGCAAGUCGAGCGAACAGAUGGGAGCUUGCUCCCUGAUGUUAGCGGCGGACGGGUGAGUAACACGUGGGUAACCUGCCUGUAAGACUGGGAUAACUCCGGGAAACCGGGGCUAAUACCGGAUGGUUGUCUGAACCGCAUGGUUCAGACAUAAAAGGUGGCUUCGGCUACCACUUACAGAUGGACCCGCGGCGCAUUAGCUAGUUGGUGAGGUAACGGCUCACCAAGGCGACGAUGCGUAGCCGACCUGAGAGGGUGAUCGGCCACACUGGGACUGAGACACGGCCCAGACUCCUACGGGAGGCAGCAGUAGGGAAUCUUCCGCAAUGGACGAAAGUCUGACGGAGCAACGCCGCGUGAGUGAUGAAGGUUUUCGGAUCGUAAAGCUCUGUUGUUAGGGAAGAACAAGUGCCGUUCAAAUAGGGCGGCACCUUGACGGUACCUAACCAGAAAGCCACGGCUAACUACGUGCCAGCAGCCGCGGUAAUACGUAGGUGGCAAGCGUUGUCCGGAAUUAUUGGGCGUAAAGGGCUCGCAGGCGGUUUCUUAAGUCUGAUGUGAAAGCCCCCGGCUCAACCGGGGAGGGUCAUUGGAAACUGGGGAACUUGAGUGCAGAAGAGGAGAGUGGAAUUCCACGUGUAGCGGUGAAAUGCGUAGAGAUGUGGAGGAACACCAGUGGCGAAGGCGACUCUCUGGUCUGUAACUGACGCUGAGGAGCGAAAGCGUGGGGAGCGAACAGGAUUAGAUACCCUGGUAGUCCACGCCGUAAACGAUGAGUGCUAAGUGUUAGGGGGUUUCCGCCCCUUAGUGCUGCAGCUAACGCAUUAAGCACUCCGCCUGGGGAGUACGGUCGCAAGACUGAAACUCAAAGGAAUUGACGGGGGCCCGCACAAGCGGUGGAGCAUGUGGUUUAAUUCGAAGCAACGCGAAGAACCUUACCAGGUCUUGACAUCCUCUGACAAUCCUAGAGAUAGGACGUCCCCUUCGGGGGCAGAGUGACAGGUGCUGCAUGGUUGUCGUCAGCUCGUGUCCUGAGAUGUUGGGUUAAGUCCCUCAACAACCGCAACCCUUGAUCUUAGUUGCCAGCAUUCAGUUGGGCCCUCUAGGUGACUGCCGGUGACAAGCCGGAACAAGGUGGAGAUGAGG
rnacentral:rRNA from 1 species